rnacentral:lncRNA from 1 species
CUAAUCAAAAGGCAUUCGAAAUCAAAAUAAAUAUUUUUUACACUAUAAAAUAAUUCAACUAUCAAAUAUUAUAUUAUUAUAUAAAUUAAUUUAUAAGAAAUUACUUGGGGAGUAAAGUGAAAAAUAUGCAAAGUUGAUGGAUUAGAGACCAAAAUAAAAAAGAGUGAAAAAAUUAUGGCCCAAUAUGCAAUUAAUUUUUUAAAAAUUGAUUUAGUCCCCACUAAAUAAAUUAGUGUAUGAGAGAGUGAGAGAGUGUAUGAGAGAGAGAGUGGGAGAAAGAGUGAGAGAGUGUAUGAGAGAGACAGAGUGAGAGAGAGUGAGAGAGAAUAAAUUUUAAAAAAAAGGGGCCCCACAAGAUCCCCAAACGGGGGAGGGCUUCUCUAUGAUUGUCCUUUCACAAGUUUAUAUUGAUUGAUUGAUUAAGGAAUCCGUGCUAUGCAACAGGUUCUUUUACUUUCUUACAAAUAAUUAAUAAAUAAUAAAAUAUUUUUAUUUAUAAAGUAAAUAACAAUAUAUUUCACUCUAUUAAAUAAAGAAAAUUUAGAUCUAUUUUCAAUCACAAAGUAAUAUGUGUUUACUAUAUAUUUUUGAUGGGCUUGUAUUUAUUACAACUUAAAACCUCCAAAAAUAAAUUUCUAUAAAUAAAACAAAAUCAAUAUACGUAAAUCCAUAUUUUUAAAAAAUUUUCUAUAUUUAGCGAUCAGUCAACACACUACUGUUGAUAAAGUUAAAACAACAUAUUCAAUUACUAUUUAGAGUUUUUAAUUAAACCUGCGAAAAAAAGUUGUCUACGGAAAUAAACAGAACACUGCGAAAGCCUCCAAUUAUGCGAAAGCUCCAGAAGAAAAAUAAAAGUAUACAUAUUUACUAAAUCAAAAUAAUUUAUUAA